GAUGAACGCUGGCGGCGUGCCUAAUACAUGCAAGUCGAGCGAACAGACGAGGAGCUUGCUCCUCUGACGUUAGCGGCGGACGGGUGAGUAACACGUGGAUAACCUACCUAUAAGACUGGGAUAACUUCGGGAGACCGGAGCUAAUACCGGAUAAUAUAUUGAACAGCAUGGUUCAAUAGUGAAAGACGGUUUUGCUGUCACUUAUAGAUGGAUCCGCGCCGCAUUAGCUAGUUGGUAAGGUAACGGCUUACCAAGGCAACGAUGCGUAGCCGACCUGAGAGGGUGAUCGGCCACACUGGAACUGAGACACGGUCCAGACUCCUACGGGAGGCAGCAGUAGGGAAUCUUCCGCAAUGGGCGAAAGCCUGACGGAGCAACGCCGCGUGAGUGAUGAAGGUCUUCGGAUCGUAAAACUCUGUUAUUAGGGAAGAACAAAUGUGUAAGUAACUAUGCACGUCUUGACGGUACCUAAUCAGAAAGCCACGGCUAACUACGUG
rnacentral:rRNA from 1 species